GCCUCAGGGAGGCGCCCAGACCCCGGGACCUGCUGCUGGAGUUUCUCUCAGCCGCGCUGGGGCCGGCGCGAAGACGGGUUGGACCCUAGAACUCGUGGGCCCACGGUGGAGAAGGGCACCUCUGCUCAAUCCCCUCUCCCAGAGUCGGGGCCUCGGGCGGGACCCGAUCUUCAGGCGGCUCAUCUUCCUGCGGGGCGCCCGCCUCAUGCCACCGGCAGGGCCACGCAGCCUUUCUCCCGCGCCGGACCUCCGCCAAGCGGCGGAGGCAUUAGUGGGCGGAGAGACCAGAACAGGGCGCAUACCGAUCCCCAAAGCCUCUUUCCGAAGCCCGGGUACGAGACGGGAAGCGAGCGCGCACCGAGCAGGUACUGAGAUACGGUCUUUCUCCAUCCCUUGCUUCCGCUGCCUGUGACUUGCCUUGACCAAUAAAGUGUGGAGAAAGUGACACAGUGUGAAUUCCAGAAGAUGUGCCUUCAGCAGCCUUGCCACAGCCACCUUGCUCUCCUAGGACCCUGAGACCAGCCUGCAGGAGGAUGCAAGGGGCCUCAGCCAACAGCCAGGCCUGCUGCCAGAUAUGUGAGUGCAGUCAUCCUUUUGGACCCCCUGGUUCUGUUUAACUAAAAUGACCACAGUCACAGUGUAACUGCAGAACCUGAUCCUGCCCUGUUUCUAACAAGACCUGGAAAUAAAGUUUCAACCUUGGAUACAGCACAUCACAAGCAACACUUGUGAAUAUCAGCCACAGGUAACACUUGUGAGCCCUUAACUGCUACCUCUUAAAACCCCACCCUGAAUACCUGGAGCAGGAGAGGCAUCCGAGUCUUGCCUCCUGUCUCCUUGCCAGUUGACUCCCAAAUAAAGCUCCUUUUUUCUCUCGA